GGGAAGGUAGCUCAGGGAUAGAGUGCAUGCCUUGCAAGCAUGAGGCCCUGGGUUUGAUUCCUCAGCACCA
rnacentral:tRNA from 1 species